UACGUAGGGUGCAAGCGUUGUCCGGAAUUAUUGGGCGUAAAGAGCUCGUAGGCGGUCUGUCGCGUCUGCUGUGAAAACUCAGGGCUUAACCCUGAGCUUGCAGUGGGUACGGGCAGACUAGAGUGCGGUAGGGGAGACUGGAAUUCCUGGUGUAGCGGUGAAAUGCGCAGAUAUCAGGAGGAACACCGGUGGCGAAGGCGGGUCUCUGGGCCGAUACUGACGCUGGAGGAGCGAAAGCGUGGGGAGCAAACAGG
rnacentral:rRNA from 1 species